rnacentral:rRNA from 1 species
AUUGAACGCUGGCGGCAUGCCUUACACAUGCAAGUCGAACGGCAGCAUGGGUGCUUGCACCUGAUGGCGAGUGGCGAACGGGUGAGUAAUGCAUCGGAACGUACCCGGAAGUGGGGGAUAACGUAGCGAAAGUUACGCUAAUACCACAUAUUCUGUGAGCAGGAAAGCGGGGGAUCGCAAGACCUCGCGCUUCCGGAGCGGCCGAUGUCGGAUUAGCUAGUUGGCGGGGUAAAGGCCCACCAAGGCAACGAUCCGUAGCGGGUCUGAGAGGAUGAUCCGCCACACUGGGACUGAGACACGGCCCAGACUCCUACGGGAGGCAGCAGUGGGGAAUUUUGGACAAUGGGCGCAAGCCUGAUCCAGCCAUGCCGCGUGAGUGAAGAAGGCCUUCGGGUUGUAAAGCACUUUAGUAGGGAGGAGUACUUUCUGGAUAAUACCCGGAAAGGAGGACGUUACCCUAAGAAUAAGCACCGGCAAACUCUGUGCCAGCAGCCG